rnacentral:rRNA from 1 species
AGUGAACGCUGGCGGUAGGCCUAACACAUGCAAGUCGAACGGCAGCACAGUAAGAGCUUGCUCUUACGGGUGGCGAGUGGCGGACGGGUGAGGAAUACAUCGGAAUCUACUUUUUCGUGGGGGAUAACGUAGGGAAACUUACGCUAAUACCGCAUACGACCUACGGGUGAAAGCAGGGGACCUUCGGACCUUGCGCGAUUGAAUGAGCCGAUGUCGGAUUAGCUAGUUGGCGGGGUAAAGGCCCACCAAGGCGACGAUCCGUAGCUGGUCUGAGAGGAUGAUCAGCCACACUGGAACUGAGACACGGUCCAGACUCCUACGGGAGGCAGCAGUGGGGAAUAUUGGACAAUGGGCGCAAGCCUGAUCCAGCCAUACCGCGUGGGUGAAAAAGGCCUUCGGGUUGUAAAGCCCUUUUGUUGGGAAAGAAAAGCAGCAGGUUAAUACCCCGCUGUUCUGACGGUACCCAAAGAAUAAGCACCGGCUAACUUCGUG